rnacentral:rRNA from 1 species
GAUGAACGCUGACAGAAUGCUUAACACAUCAGCAAUUGACUGGUGGCGGACGGGUGAGUAACGCGUAUAGAACUUGCCUCACAGUUAGGGACAACAUUUGGAAACGAAUGCUAAUACCUAAUACUGUGAGAGAGCUUUGCGUCCCAUUAGCUAGUUGGAUAGGUAACGGCUCACCAAGGCGAUGAUGUGUAGCCGGCCUGAGAGGGUGAUCGGCCACAAGGGGACUGAGACACAGGACGUAAUACUACGGGAGGCAGCAGUGGGGAAUAUUGGACAAUAGACCAAAGUAUGAUCCAGCAAUUCUGUGUGCACGAUGAAGUUUUCGGAAUGUAAAGUGCUUUCAGUUGGGAAGCGGUACCAACAGAAGAAGUGACGGCUAAAUACGUGCCAGCAGCCGCGGUAAUUC